rnacentral:lncRNA from 1 species
AUGAAUGCCAACCACUUCUCACUCUCUGCAUUUCCCUCCUGCCGAGUCUCCAGUGGCUGGUUGGAGAGCUUGACUUGGAGCCAGACUGGGGGGAGUAAUUUACUGCUGGCCUCUAAUGGCUAUAAAUUACUACAUGCCCUGGGGAAUUGCAGCUAUAAAGCAGAUGCCGCCAGUAUCUCUGUGGGUGAGAUAAAGACGCAAAAUGAUUUGGUGUUGCAUGCUGGCUUUCUUCUGAGUUAGUCCUGGAAGCUUUGUGAUGCAGCCACAGGCUACUAGUCUGGAAUGCAUCAGAGUUUCAAGCUCAGUCACAAUGUUGGAAAUGCAGAACAGGGAGAGGUGAAGGGAAGAGUGGAGGCAAGUACAAAAACCCCAUGAGGUAGACGAGAGCAGGCAGAACCAGAAGUGCCAGCAAGGAGAACAUUGCCC